UACAUGGGGUGCAAACGUUGCUCGGAAUCAUUGGGCGUAAAGCGCGCGUAGGCGGUUACUUAAGUCGAAUGUGAAAGCCCUCGGCUUAACCGAGGAAGUGCAUCCGAAACUGAGUAGCUAGAGUACGAAAGAGGGUCGCGGAAUUCCCGGUGUAGAGGUGAAAUGCGUAGAUAUCUGGAGGAACACCGGUGGCGAAAGCGGCUCACUGGACCCGAUCUGACACUGAGGUGCGAAAGCUAGGGUAGCAAACGGG
rnacentral:rRNA from 1 species